AGCGGUGGAGCAUGUGGUUUAAUUUGAUGCAACGCGAAGAACCUUACCAGGGUUUGACAUGGUAUGAAUUCUCUUGAGAAAGAGAAGUGCCUUCGGGAACAUACACACAGGUGGUGCAUGGCUGUCGUCAGCUCGUGUUGUGAGAUGUUUGGUUAAGUCCUUUAACGAGCGCAACCCUUAUUCUUAGUUGCUAAAAAUAUAGAACUCUAAGAAUAUAUUUAUGAUGAGUAAAUGGAAGAAGGAUAACGUCAAGUCCUCAUGGCCCUUAUAGACUGGGCUACACACGUGCUACAAUGGUGCGCACAGAGGGCUGCAAACCCGCGAGGGGGAGCCAAUCUCACAAAACGCAUCGUAGUCCGGAUCGCAGUCUGCAACUCGACUGCGUGAAGUCGGAAUCGCUAGUAAUCGCAGGUCAGAAUACUGCGGUGAAUACGUUCCCGGGCCUUGUACACACCG
rnacentral:rRNA from 13 species